AGAGUUUGAUCAUGGCUCAGAUUGAACGCUGGCGGUAUGCUUAACACAUGCAAGUCGAACGGUAGUUGCUUCGGCAGCGAGAAGUGGCGGACGGGUGAGUAACGCGUAGGAACCUGGCCCGUAAUGGGGGACAACUUAGGGAAACUUAAGCUAAUACCGCAUACGCCACCCCAAGGGGGAAGAAAGGGCGGGGGACACGCAAGGCCUCGCGCUAUGGGAUGGGCCUGCGUCGGAUUAGCUUGUUGGUGGGGUAACGGCCCACACAAGGCGACGAUCCGUAGCUGGUCUGAGAGGACGACCAGCCACACUGGGACUGAGACACGGCCCAGACUCCUACGGGAGGCAGCAGUGGGGAAUAUUGGACAAUGGGCGCAAGCCUGAUCCAGCAAUACCGCGUGUGUGAAGAAGGCCUGAGGGUUGUAAAGCACUUUCAACGGGGAGGAAAAAGGCAAGGCGAACACCCUUGCCCUUGACAUUACCCGUACAAGAAGCACCGGCUAACUCCGUGCCAGCAGCCGCGGUAAUACGGAGGGUGCGAGCGUUAAUCGGAAUUACUGGGCGUAAAGCGUGCGCAGGCGGCGCACCAAGCCAGGCGUGAAAGCCCCGGGCUCAACCUGGGAACUGCGCCUGGGACUGGUGUGCUGGAGUCGGGUAGAGGCAGGCGGAAUUUCCGGGUGUAGCGGUGAAAUGCGUAGAUAUCCCGGAGGAACACCAGUGGGCGAAGCGGCCUGCUGGGCCAGACUGACGCUGAGCACGAAAGCGUGGGGUAGCAAACAGGAUAGAUACCCUGGUAGUUCCACGCCGUAAACGGAUGUCGACUAGUCGUGGCCCUUAUGGGGGCUAGUGCGCAGUUAAUCGCAUUGAGUUCGACCGCCCUGGCCCAACUCGCAAGACUAAAACUCAAAGGAAUUGACGGA
rnacentral:rRNA from 1 species